UGCAGCCAUGCCGCGUGUGUGAAGAAGGCCUUCGGGUUGUAAAGCACUUUCAGCAAGGAGGAAAGGUUAGUAGUUAAUACCUGCUAGCUGUGACGUUACUUGCAGAAGAAGCACCGGCUAACUCCGUGCCAGCAGCCGCGGUAAUACGGAGGGUGCGAGCGUUAAUCGGAAUUACUGGGCGUAAAGCGUACGCAGGCGGUUUGUUAAGCGAGAUGUGAAAGCCCCGGGCUCAACCUGGGAACUGCAUUUCGAACUGGCAAACUAGAGUGUGAUAGAGGGUGGUAGAAUUUCAGGUGUAGCGGUGAAAUGCGUAGAGAUCUGAAGGAAUACCGAUGGCGAAGGCAGCCACCUGGGUCAACACUGACGCUCAUGUACGAAAGCGUGGGGAGCAAACAGGAUUAGAUACCCUGGUAGUCCACGCCGUAAACGAUGUCUACUAGGAGCUCGGCUUUUCGGAGCUGUUUUCCAAAGCAAACGCAUUAAGUAGACCGCCUGGGGAGUACGGCCGCAAGGUUAAAACUUAAAGAAAAUUGACGG
rnacentral:rRNA from 1 species